GAUGAACGCUGGCGGCGUGCCUAAUACAUGCAAGUCGAGCGAAUGGAUUAAGAGCUUGCUCUUAUGAAGUUAGCGGCGGACGGGUGAGUAACACGUGGGUAACCUGCCCAUAAGACUGGGAUAACUCCGGGAAACCGGGGCUAAUACCGGAUAACAUUUUGAACCGCAUGGUUCGAAAUUGAAAGGCGGCUUCGGCUGUCACUUAUGGAUGGACCCGCGUCGCAUUAGCUAGUUGGUGAGGUAACGGCUCACCAAGGCAACGAUGCGUAGCCGACCUGAGAGGGUGAUCUGCCAAGCUGGGACGGAGACACGGCCCAGACUCCUACGGGAGGCAGCAGUAGGGAAUCUUCCGCAAUGGACGAAAGGCGGACGGAGCAACGCCGCGUGGGUGAUGAAGGCUUUCGGGUCGUAAAACUCUGUUGUUAGGGAAGAACAAGUGCUAGUUGAAUAAGCUGGCACCUUGACGGUACCUAACCAGAAAGCCACGGCUAACUACGUGCCAGCAGCCGCGGUAA
rnacentral:rRNA from 1 species